rnacentral:rRNA from 1 species
UACGAAGGGGGCUAGCGUUGUUCGGAAUUACUGGGCGUAAAGCGCGCGCAGGCGGUCUUCCAAGUCAGUGGUGAAAGCCCGGAGCUCAACUCCGGAACUGCCAUUGAAACUGUAAGACUUGAGGAUGAGAGAGGUGAGUGGAAUUCCCAGUGUAGAGGUGAAAUUCGUAGAUAUUCGCAAGAACACCAGUGGCGAAGGCGGCUCACUGGCCCGAUACUGACGCUGAGGUGCGAAAGCGUGGGGAGCAAACAGG